rnacentral:rRNA from 1 species
UAGGGAAUCUUCUGCAAUGGACGAAAGUCUGACCGAGCAACGCCGCGUGAGUGAAGAAGGUUUUCGGAACGUAAAACUCUGUUGUUAGAGAAGAACAAGGACGGUAGUAACUGAACGUCCCCUGACGGUAUCUAACCAGAAAGCCACGGCUAACUACGUGCCAGCAGCCGCGGUAAUACGUAGGUGGCAAGCGUUGUCCGGAUUUAUUGGGCGUAAAGCGAGCGCAGGAGGUUUCUUAAGUCUGAUGUGAAAGCCCCCGGCUCAACCGGGGAGGGUCAUUGGAAACUGGGAGACUUGAGUGCAGAAGAGGAGAGUGGAAUUCCAUGUGUAGCGGUGAAAUGCGUAGAUAUAUGGAGGAACACCAGUGGCGAAGGCGGCUCUCUGGUCUGUAACUGACGCUGAGGCUCGAAAGCGUGGGGAGCAAACAGG